CCUACGGGUGGCAGCAGUGAGGAAUAUUGGUCAAUGGACGCAAGUCUGAACCAGCCAUGCCGCGUGCAUGAAGACGGCCCUAUGAGUUGUAAACUGCUUUUGUACGAGGGUAAACGCAAAUACGUGUAUCUGUCUGAAAGUACCGUACGACUAAGGAUCGGCUAACUUCGUGCCAGCAGCCGCGGUAAUACGGAGGAUUCAAGCGUUAUCCGGAUUUAUUGGGUUUAACGGGUGCGUAGGCGGUCGGAUAAGUUAGAGGUGAAAUCCCGGGGCUCAACUUCGGAAUUGCAUCUGAUACUGGUCGGCUAGAGUGUAGUAGCGGGAGGCAGAAUGUAUGGUGUAGCGGUGAAAUGCUUAGAGAUCAGACAGAACACCGAUUGCGAAGGCAGCUUACCAGGCUACUUCUGACGUUGAGGCACGAAAGCGUGGGGAGCAAACAGGAGUAGAUACCCGUGUAGUC
rnacentral:rRNA from 1 species